CAUCAUCUCUAUAGGGUAUUUUCAACCGUAGAUGUACUUGACACCGUUACGGUCAUCCGUUAGGCUCUCCACCGUAGGUGUUUGCCUUUUUCUCUCCGCCGUGGACCACCUGCGUGUCGUCCUCUCUUUCCUCCCCCCCCCCCCCCGCCGCCGCACUUUCGCCUGAUCCAGAAGCCUCACCAUGAUUCGAACAGACUGCUGCCGUCCCCAGUCCCAGUCCUCCGUCGUCCGCGUCCUGCGCCGCACGCGCCUCAAGCACCGUCGCUAUUGCCCAGCCCACCGGCGCCGCCUGUAAAUCCAUGCCCGACGCCUCGACCUCUCAGAUUCCUCACCACCGGCGGGUCCUAGCCCCGUCCAGGCGCGGCAGCGGUGGAUGCAACGCGCUGCGGCAGAGAUUUUCCUUGGGCCGAGCUGCGGUAGGCUGACGCGGUGGUUGACCGCGUGCCUCGUCUCCAACCUCAAGCUGUGCGGUUGCGCUGCGGGUCUACCUGCUCUGGCUUGGCCCUCUCCCUACGGUAAUCCUCCUCUGCUCUUACCGGGAGGAGCACCAGGCGGUAUUAAAGGCAGGCUCGAGCGGUUCUCCAGGCCAGCUCCGCGCGCCGGCCGAUUUUCCCCGUGCGCCCCGGCCAGCGAUUUCCACCACGGAUGCCCGUGCCGCUUAUUCCGCGCGGCGGUGGAGAUUGAGGACAGCAUCGCGCGCCGUAGAGGAGGAGCAGGGCCGGCAACCAGUCCCUCGGCCGGAUGAGUUCUGGGCUGCCAGGGCCACUCCACGCGGUGGCUGGGCGCGGGGAUGGUUGUGUUGGUGGUCAACGGUGCGUUAGCGUGGCUGGAGCACGAGUGCCCGCCCUGUCCCUCCAUGGGUAGUCUGCUUCCUUUCCCGGCCACCCCGUGCGCCAUGCCUCCGACCGUCCAGCGCCGCCCCGCACGUGUAGUCUGCUCCGAUGCGGUCGGCCGCCGGGAUGGUUGGGUUGUAGCCGCGCAUGACGCGCACGGCACGGCUGGGGUUCAUGGCGGCGGCGGAGCGAGCCAACACUGGUUGACAUGGAGAGGGCCGUGCUUAAGAACGCAGCGGAGAGAAUCGCGACGGCCAGCUUCGGCAUCAAAUUGGGUCUUUUCUUAUCGAUCUGCACUUGUUUCUCCUCUUUAAUUUCUGGUGGAUUUGCUUCACCGUCUGAGGGAAUCAGGCCCUUGUUGAUUUUUCUUGUACAUGGUGUUCUCCCGAUCUAGAUUCAGUUUGCUAAUUGAAUUCCUGGCGGAAGUGUGUUUCCGAUUCAGUGGCGCACUGGCCGGCCAAGCGAUGUCAAGGCGCGAGCAGCCAUGGACAUGGGGAUGGCGAAGCCUGCUGCCGCCCAAUGACAGAUUGCAGAGGCGAUGGCGGCAGCUGACAGCUUGCGGCGGCGGCGGACGGAGGGCGGCUCGGGACGGCGACGGCUGACGUCUUGGGACGGUGGCCGGCGUGCGACGGAAGCGAGAGGACAGCUUGCGGCAGCGACCAGCCACAACUACAGCGGACGACUAGCCAAACAAAGGAUUUCAACCGGAAUCAACCACGUUAUUAGAUUAAGGAGCGACAGAAACAAACAUGAUUUAAUGGAAUCAUUUAACAGCGCUAUCAGGUUAUUAGCUAAAACAGGUGGCACAGUGCUUUUUUCUGUCGACAUGAACGGCCCACGGUGUUUAUUUUUGUUAAUAGGUGUCGGUUAAUAACUUAAGAUGCCCUUAAUUUUUUUUUUUUCA